GUGGAUUAGAUACCCUGGUAGUCCACGCCCUAAACUAUGACGACUAGUUGUUGGGGAUUUAACAUCCUUAGUAACGCAGCUAACGCGUGAAGUCGUCCGCCUGGGGAGUACGGUCGCAAGAUUAAAACUCAAAGGAAUUGACGGGGGCCCGCACAAGCGGUGGAUGAUGUGGUUUAAUUCGAUGCAACGCGAAGAACCUUACCUACCCUUGACAUGUCAGGAAUUCCGCAGAGAUGUGGAAGUGCUCGAAAGAGAACCUGAACACAGGUGCUGCACGGCCGUCGUCAACU
rnacentral:rRNA from 1 species